rnacentral:ncRNA from 1 species
UCCAGAAAACCCGCCUCAGGUGUUCCGCGGCCCCGGCAGGGCCGUGGAAUGAAACGGGAAGUCCGGUAUGGCCCGCCUUGGGAGACCAGGGGAGCCAAAGCCGGCGCUGCCCCCGCAACGGUAGGCGAGUGACGGGACGGCCUUCAUGCCACUGCGCGAAAAGCGCGGGAAGGCGGCUGUCCCGGCGGUGUCCCGGAGAGGACCCGCCAGCUCGCCAGCCCGGAGACCGGCCUGAGGUUUGGCUGCGGC